CCUACGGGAGGCAGCAGUGAGGAAUAUUGGUCAAUGGGCGAGAGCCUGAACCAGCCAAGUCGCGUGAAGGAUGACGGCCCUACGGGUUGUAAACUUCUUUUGUCAGGGAGCAAUUGGGUCCACGCGUGGGCUUAGCGAGAGUACCUGCAGAAAAAGCAUCGGCCAACUACGUGCCAGCAGCCGCGGUAGUACGGAGGAUGCGAGCGUUAUCCGGAUUUAUUGGGUUAAAAGGGUGCGUAGGCGGAAUAUUAAGUCAGCGGGAAAAAGUCGGGGCUCAACCGCGUCGUGCCGUUGAAACUGGUGUGCUUGAGUGGGCGAGAAGUAUGCGGAAUGCGAGGUGUAGCGGUGAAAUGCAUAGAGAUCACGCAGAACUCCGAUUGCGAAGGCAGCAUACCGGCGCCCAACUGACGCUGAAGCACGAAAGCGUGGGUAGCGAACAGGAUUAGAUACCCGGGUAGUC
rnacentral:rRNA from 1 species